CAGUGGGGAAUAUUGGACAAUGGGGGAAACCCUGAUCCAGCGACGCCGCGUGUGUGAAGAAGGCCUGCGGGUUGUAAAGCACUUUUAGUGGGGAGGAAAACCCCUGACCUAAUACGUCAGGAAUUGACUUAACCCAAAGAAAAAGCACCGGCUAACUCUGUGCCAGCAGCCGCGGUAAUACAGAGGGUGCAAGCGUUAAUCGGAAUUACUGGGCGUAAAGCGUGCGUAGACGGUUUAUUAAGUCGGAUGUGAUAUCCCCGGGCUCAACCUGGGAAUUGCAUUCGAAACUGAUCAGCUAGGGUACGGAAGAGGGAAGCGGAAUUUCCGGUGUAGCGGUGAAAUGCGUAGAUAUCGGAAGGAACAUCAGUGGCGAAAGCGGCUUCCUGGUCCAGUACCGACGUUCAGGCACGAAGGCGUGGGGAGCAAACAGGAUUAGAUACCCCGGUAGUC
rnacentral:rRNA from 1 species